rnacentral:lncRNA from 1 species
GAGUGAGGGAGCAGUGUUACGACAGUUCCGUAGACUAAUCCUACAUAGAAAAAUUCCCUUGACGAGAAAGAAGAAGUAGUCACUUACGAGAAUGUUCUAGAUGUCAUGGAAUAACCCAGAAAGGUCUGGUGACGUCUAGAACGUCAGAAAAUCUAUAUCAACAUAUGUGUUUUGACGUUUUUGAACAGUUAUAAUUCUGAUUUGAAAGAUUACAAUUGUCAGUUUUGUAAAACUUAAGAAUUAUUGUAAUACUGUUGAAGUUUAAUAAAUUAAUUUUUAAAACAA